rnacentral:rRNA from 1 species
UACGAAGGGGGCUAGCGUUGCUCGGAAUCACUGGGCGUAAAGGGUGCGUAGGCGGGUCUUUUAAGUCAGGGGUGAAAUCCUGGAGCUCAACUCCAGAACUGCCCUUUGAUACUGAGGAUCUUGAGUUCGGGAGAGGUGAGUGGAACUGCGAGUGUAGAGGUGAAAUUCGUAGAUAUUCGCAAGAACACCAGUGGCGAAGGCGGCUCACUGGCCCGAUACUGACGCUGAGGCACGAAAGCGUGGGGAGCAAACAGGG